UAGCCACACCCACCAACACCCUCCCACACGGGCUCUCCGUCUUUCUCUUUCUUUCUCUUUCUUUCUCUCUCUCCCUUUUUCACUCACACACUCAUACAGACGCGAGCAAAGACAGCGUUUAGCCCGACAGCGAACCAAGUCUUCCGCCAGCACCGCGGGCAGGAGCCCAGGACAGGAGCGCCUCUCGCGGCCUCGGGCUCCGCGGUUGGCAGAAAUCUCGGGAGGAGGAGACGCGGAGGAAACAAGGGACGCGAGUGAAAAGAUUACUGUCUCUCUCUCUUUGCCUGAGGAAGAACACUGCGCCUUUAAAUCGCGUUUCUUCACUCUCCUUUGCUCCAUUCCUCCUGGCAUUGUGUCUUUAUAUUCUUUUUCUUUCUUUUCUUUCCUCUCUCGCGUUAAAUGUGAGUGGGAAAAGAGGGUCCGUGGGGGCGGGGGACACAUUCAGGGACAAACGAGGGGAGAGAGAGAAGAGAGAUGGGCAAAUCCAACAGCAAACUCAAGCCUGAGGUGGUGGAGGAACUGACCAGAAAAACCUACUUCACUGAAAAAGAAGUACAGCAGUGGUAUAAGGGCUUCAUUAAGGAUUGCCCCAGUGGGCAGCUGGACUCAGCUGGCUUUCAGAAGAUCUACAAACAGUUCUUUCCUUUCGGUGACCCCACCAAGUUUGCUACGUUCGUCUUCAAUGUCUUUGAUGAGAACAAGGAUGGACGCAUUGAGUUCUCAGAAUUCAUACAGGCUUUGUCUGUCACCUCCAGAGGAACACUGGAUGAGAAACUAAGAUGGGCCUUUAAACUGUAUGAUCUUGACAAUGAUGGCUACAUAACUCGAGAUGAGAUGCUAAACAUUGUGGAUGCUAUCUAUCAGAUGGUGGGAAACACAGUGGAGUUACCAGAGGAAGAAAACACACCAGAAAAAAGAGUGGACCGUAUCUUCGCCAUGAUGGAUAAGAACGCAGAUGGGAUGCUGACGCUGCAGGAGUUCCAAGAAGGCUCCAAAGCAGAUCCGUCUAUUGUUCAAGCACUGUCACUCUACGAUGGCCUUGUGUAGUCAUGCCCAAUACGGCAUUCAAAGCUGAGUAUAAAUAUUCAUAAUGAAACUGUGGUAUAGUCACAAGAAUUUCAAGAGUUGGUGUGAACAUGGUACUCCCUCUCAUAAUUGCGCCAUCAUGACAGUCCAUUUUUGCCAUCCUGCUUUCUGUGUGGGAGGGAAGCCGAUGUGUCCCUUGCUUUCCAUGCUUGCUUGGACUAGGCACUGCACUAGUGCAUUAUGGGGAUCAUUUGUGGAAAGGCACCACUCAACUACUCAUUUCGAUAGGGGAAAAAAAAGGGAAAAAAACAGGUCAAGAUGAUAACAUGAAUUCCUCCAUCUUCUGUUUUGAAGUGGGCCAUUUUUUGAACUCUAGCAAAUCCAGUGAAUUGAAUGAAUUUCCUUUGAAGGAGAGCACGGAACACCUACACGAGAGCUGUUACUGAACUGUUUGCCUUCUGUAAAUGCAGUGCACAUGUAUAAAAAUCUGGAUACUACUGAAUACUGGUGGACCUGCCUGGUUGUGAUUUUGUUUAGACAUACAAAAUGAGUCGCAUUCUAUGGAGCAUCUAACAAGCAACAGUGUCGUACGUACGCCAUAAUACAACAGCCUGUCCAUGCAAAUGCACCAAUAACCAUUAAGUGAUAAACUAUUGGAGUAAAGGUUGCGGCCAAGAAAAUUCAACGGUAUUGAAGCCGGUAAAUGAGGAACUGGCAAGCCAGUCUUUCCUAAGGUGUUAAGAAGUGACAUUGUACUAUAUUUACUUUCAAGUAUGCAGAAAAGCAUCCAGUAUUUAUUUAUUUGCCUAUUUAUUUCAUUGUUUUUAGCUGUUUAAGAAAUUUUGUUGCACAGUGAUAAUAACACUGAUUUUUGUGUUGUAAAAUGCGACGGUUCUGUGAUGCUGUUGUGAUCAUAUUGGCCCUUGUGUUUUGCAUUUAUUUAACAUGUGUGGGGCAAAUCGGGUCCCUUCCUGCGGUCUUGUUGUAUUCCUUUUCCAGCUUGAACUAAUGAACCACUUCAGAAGUUUUCUUUGUACGUUGCUUAUACAGCCCGUUGUACAGCAUGAAACCCUGAAGUGUUGUAUGCUUGAAUUGUUCAAGUUUCUGUUAACGUGGCAGUUAGGUAAUAAUUUGAUUUUCAUUACUUGGUGCUCAUACCUAACAUUACAGUAGUCUUUUUUUUAAUCUGAGAUACCCAGUUUGUCAAAAUAAAACAUUGUUGAAGGAAUUUUCCAGUAACCUAUAAAAACUUCAUCUCAACUCACAGUGGGAGAAUGACUUGGAUUUCUGCUUUUGCUGUGUGAGAACUCACUACUGGCAUUUGUAUUGCUAUCACAGUCACUUAGGUAAUAGCAAUAUUGUGCAUAGAAUCACAAUGCAACUUUUGUAGUGGCAUGUGUUUACUGAGGUUCCUCAAUAAAUCAAAACACCACUCAAUA